rnacentral:lncRNA from 1 species
AUGGGGACAGAAAGGAUGGAAUGGAUGAAGAAAAAAUUAAAGGGCGAACUUGAUGAAACCUGGUGACUGGUUACAUGGGAGGAGAGAAAGUGCUACGUCACGCACUGUGAGGAGAGUAACAGACGCCAGACGAGAACCAGCCAGCAAAGACCUGCCAAGCGAUUACUGGCCCGUGGACCUUCGCUAGCCACACUUGCGGCGGGGCUCAGGUCCGCCUCCCCACAAAACUCCAGAUGCCCCCGUCUACACAGCUUCUGAUUCUUUUGAAGAGAGCUCAGUGAAACAAUGCAAUGUCUGUGAACCCCAGUGUCUACUGAAAAGCCUUAAAAGCUCCAUUCUGAUUUCAGGACACUUAAAUGACCUUUCUUCAAUUGGGCAUGGAUUUCAUCUUCAAGUCGUCAUUUUAGAAUUCUUGAGAAAAUCCCUUCUGCUCCCACAUUUCCAG